rnacentral:misc_RNA from 1 species
GCAACUUUAGAGAGCAGCUCAGUGACAAGAGCUUUGAGCAGCAGACCAUGAAUCUUUGUCAAAAGCACACCAGCAUAUCGGCUAUUUUGAUUGAAACCAAAUCGACCAGACAGAGAGUCUAUUCCACCUCUUGCUAGGGUGAUUUCUCUGACAUCCUGAAUCUCAAUUGCGGGCAUUUCCAUGGAACUUGUUUUGUCUAUCCAUCGACUAACUAAUUCCUCCUCAAUUUCUUCAAACAAAAAUGGAACUUUUAGCCCCAAGACCUCAGAAAACCUCAACAGGAAUUCCCAAACCUGGAGGGUGUCGCCUAUCAAAAAUGCAGGAAUCUUUGUGCUCAACGGCUUUCCCGAAGAACAGGGACGCCUGACGUCAGCAUUGUCCAGAUACUUUCUGAGUGUUCCAGAAAUUCUUAAAGAUUCAAUAGCUUCCCUCUCAUCCUGCAUAUGAUUCUUUCUU